GACGAACGCUGGCGGCGUGCUUAACACAUGCAAGUCGAACGGAAAGGCCCUGCUUUUGUGGGGUACUCGAGUGGCGAACGGGUGAGUAACACGUGAGUAACCUGCCCUUGACUUUGGGAUAACUUCAGGAAACUGGGGCGAAUACCGGAUAGGAGCUCCUGCUGCAUGGUGGGGGUUGGAAAAUUUCGGCGGUUGGGGAUGGACUCGCGGCUUAUCAGCUUGUUGGUGGGGUAGUGGCUUACCAAGAGUUCGACGGUUAGCCGGCCUGAUAGGGUGACCGGCCACAUUGGGACUGAGAUACGGCCCAGACUCCUACGGGAGGCAGCAGUGGGGAAUAUUGCACAAUGGGCGGAAGCCUGAUGCAGCAACGCCGCGUGCGGGAUGACGGCCUUCGGGCUGUAAACCGCUUUCGCCUGUGACGAAGCGUGAGUGACGGUAAUGGGUAAAGAAGCACCGGCUAACUACGUG
rnacentral:rRNA from 1 species